rnacentral:rRNA from 1 species
ACGGCUCAGUAACACGUGGUCAACAUACCCAGAGGACGUGGAUAACCUCGGGAAACUGAGGAUAAACCGCGAUAGACCAUAAUGUCUGGAAUGAUUUAUGGUUCAAAUCUAUAUGGCCUCUGGAUUGGACUGCGGCCGAUCAGGCUGUUGGUGAGGUAAUGGCCCACCAAACCUGAAACCGGUACGGGCUCUGAGAGGAGAAGCCCGGAGAUGGGCACUGAGACAAGGGCCCAGGCCCUAUGGGGCGCAGCAGGCGCGAAACCUUUGCAAUAGGCGAAAGCCUGACAAGGUUACUCUGAGUGAUCUCCGCUAAGGAAAUCUUUUGGCACCUCUAAAAAUGGUGUAGAAUAAGGGGUGGGCAAGCCUGGUGUCAGCCGCCGCGGUAAUACCAGCACCCCGAGUGGUCGGGACGAUUAUUGGGCCUAAAGCAUCCGUAGCCGGUUCUUUAAGUCCUCCGUUAAAUCCACCUGCUUAACAGAUGGGCUGCGGAGGAUACUAUAGAGCUAGGAGGCGGGAGAGGCAAGCGGUACUCAGUGGGUAGGGGUAAAAUCCGUUGAUCCAUUGAAGACCACCAGUGGCGAAGGCGGCUUGCCAGAACGCGCUCGACGGUGAGGGAUGAAAGCUGGGGGAGCAAACCGGAUUAGAUACCCGGGUAGUCCCAGCUGUAAACGAUGCAGACUCGGUGAUGAACAGGCUUCGUGCCUGUUCAGUGCCGCAGGGAAGCCGUUAAGUCUGCCGCCUGGGGAGUACGGUCGCAAGACUGAAACCUAAAGGAAUUGGCGGGGGAGCAC